UCAUCUUAUGAGCCAUUUGUAAAACAGAACCCCUGAAGUUUUGACUAUCUUUUAAGUCAUACAAGAAUAGCAUUUACAUUUUUCCUUCUCUAUAUUCAUUCGGAGUGUUCAAUACAAGUUAUGCUUCAUCACAUGAUUAUAAUGGUAUUGUUGUAAAAUAGUGUUCCUUACAAGUAAAGAUAAUUAAACAUCAAGUUCAAGGCUGGCAGAUCAGAGAUCGUGAGUUCGAUUUUUGGAAAACUCUUGGAAGUCAGAUAUUCUCCUGGAAGGCAAGAUUUAUCCUAAAAGUCAGAAGUUCUACUGGAAGGCAAUGUGUAAAGAUGGGAAACGACUUGCUUGACACUUUGGCAGAUCAAUUGGGGACUCUUGAGCACUGAUCAGUUUGAAGCACAAUCUACGAUUUAACCUGUCUGCAGUUUGAGGGGUCAAGGUGUAGACCCCAGAAUUUAAUCACAUCUGGAUAUCAAAAAAAAAAUAAUAAUAAUAAUAAUAAAUAAAUAAAAAUAAAAAUUCAACACCAAGUUAGAUAUCAAUGCUAUAAGCUAGAAAUUGAAAUAACUAUAUUGAAAUCGCAAGAACAACACUUCCGUAUCAAAUCCUCGUUCCAAGAUGCGUAGUGGAUGAUCGAGGCUCAGAUUAACCAACCCAAAGAAAGACGGUAUCACCACACUCAAUUGGACCCAAAAAUCUCACAAGAACAGACAGAAAACUGUUGCGAGGGAAAAGGCUGAAAACGGAGCAGAGAGGAGCCACAACAGAGAGCCACCGGUAUAGCACAACAGCCCACAACUAACACCGGAAAGGUGGUCAAUAAAACGCAGCAGAGCAAAGGCUAAAAGGAGAGACAGCUGCAAGUCAGAGACAAAAGCAGAGAAGGCAACAUAAG
rnacentral:lncRNA from 1 species